GAUGAAGAACGUAGCGAAAUGCGAUAAGUAAUGUGAAUUGCAGAAUUCAGUGAAUCAUCGAAUCUUUGAACGCACAUUGCGCCCAUUAGUAUUCUAGUGGGCAUGCCUGUUCGAGCGUCAUUAAUUCCACUUAAGCCCUGCUUAGUGUUGGGAAUCUACUCUAGUGGUGCUACCCUGGAGCUACCCCUGAAAGGGGGCUGGCCCGGUAGCUACCCUGUAGUUCCUCAAAGAUAGUGCGCGGAGUUGCGUGGUCCUCUGAGCUUAGUAACUAUACACCUAGCUUUUGAGGGUCCCGCGGCGCCUGCCGUUUAAACCCCAUCUUUUAAUGGUUGACCUCGGAUCAGGUAGGAAUACCCGCUGAACUUAAGCAUAUCAAUAAGCGGAGGA
rnacentral:misc_RNA from 1 species